rnacentral:rRNA from 1 species
UACGAAGGGGGCUAGCGUUGUUCGGAAUCACUGGGCGUAAAGCGCACGUAGGCGGAUUGUUAAGUCGGAGGUGAAAUCCCAGGGCUCAACCCUGGAACUGCCUUCGAUACUGGCUAUCUCGAGUCCGGGAGAGGUGAGUGGAACUGCGAGUGUAGAGGUGAAAUUCGUAGAUAUUCGCAAGAACACCAGUGGCGAAGGCGGCUCACUGGCCCGGUACUGACGCUGAGGUGCGAAAGCAUGGGGAGCGAACGGG